rnacentral:rRNA from 1 species
GACGAACGCUGGCGGCGUGCUUAACACAUGCAAGUCGAACGGAAAGGCCCUGCGGGGUACUCGAGCGGGGAACGGGAGAGUAACACGAGGGUGAUCUGACCCGCACCUUGGGAUAAGGAUGGGUUCAUGGGACUAAUGCCGAAUCUGGUCAUCGGCUUCAUCGUCGGGGGUGGGAUGCGUUGGCGGUGUGGGAUGGGCCCGCGGCCUAUCAGCUUGUUGGUGGGGUAGUGGCCUACCAAGGCGACGACGGGUAGCCGGCCUGAGAGGGUGACCGGCCACACUGGGACUGAGAUACGGCCCAGACUCCUACGGGAGGCAGCAGUGGGGAAUAUUGCACAAUGGGCGGAAGCCUGAUGCAGCGACGCCGCGUGAGGGAUGACGGCCUUCGGGUUGUAAACCGCUUUCAGCUCAGACGAAGCGCAAGUGACGGUAUGGGGAGAAGAAGGACCGGCCAACUACGUG